UUGAGUACUCACGUGCAAUACACGGGGGCGAUGGCCGGCCGUUUGGGCUGUGCACGCAGGUCAGAUGUGUUGUGAGAGAACGGAAACACUGACUGUAGUCGUAUAGUCGCCAUCAAUACUACUAUCGUCGCCGCUAUGCUGUGCUGUGUUGUUCAGUGUAAAAUCCGUUAGCGGGGCCAGAAUACGAGCAGCAGCACAAUGCAAUAUGGGUCCGACAGACUAAAAUACAAUAAUUAUAAAGGCAACUCCUUGUUACUUAAGUGGGCGCCACCGCCAAAAUAAUAAUAAUAAUCAACAUAAACGGUCGUCAGAUUAAAUAACAUAGACAGCAAAAAAUAUUGUGAAAAAUCAGUCAAAUUUUAAUAGCACAAAUCAAAUGUUUCCUUGGAAAAUUCCUGAUAAUUCUCAGCCCAUCGCUAAGGAGUUAUCACAGUCAUCGCUAUAGGAUAAAUCCCAAAUGUUUCCCCAUCAAAACUGGAAACUAAAAACUCAGUCGGCCAUCAAGUCGGAUAUGAACACAGUGGACAGAAUUUGUUUACCGUGUUUAAGCAACAGUUCCUUGAUAAUGUCUUGGGCGAUCGGAGUGACCAUGUUCAAAACAUAUCUCUUGUUCGAGUUGAAGAAAUACGAAGCGAUUUCGACUGAGAAAAUAAACGGUUUUUAUUGAAAAAAAAACUUAACAAACCGUAUCCAAAAGUUUCAUAAUAAUUCAAAAUAAAAACCAAACUAUAAUAUUGUGUACGAGAUAAAUAGACAAUCAUAGUUAUUGUUUCUACACAUUUUAAAAUAGAAAAACCUCUGGAAAUACAUAAUGACGCAAUAUGUAGUUAGGUACAAACUAUGUAGGCUAUUAUUAUGAAUCAUAUAUUUAAUUGUAAUUGACACAGAACCCGUUUUAACCAAUUACACUGAAAGCGAUUUAU